GGAAUUAUUGGGCGUAAAGAGCUCGUAGGCGGUUGUCGCGUCUGCUGUGAAAUCCCGAGGCUCAACCUCGGGUCUGCAGUGGGUACGGGCAGACUAGAGUGCGGUAGGGGAGAUUGGAAUUCCUGGUGUAGCGGUGGAAUGCGCAGAUAUCAGGAGGAACACCGAUGGCGAAGGCAGAUCUCUGGGCCGUAACUGACGCUGAGGAGCGAAAGCAUGGGGAGCGAACAGGAUUAGAUACCCUGGUAGUCCAUGCCGUAAACGUUGGGAACUAGAUGUGGGGACCAUUCCACGGUCUCCGUGUCGCAGCUAACGCAUUAAGUUCCCCGCCUGGGGAGUACGGCCGCAAGGCUAAAACUCAAAGGAAUUGACGGGGGCCCGCACAAGCGGCGGAGCAUGCGGAUUAAUUCGAUGCAACGCGAAGAACCUUACCAAGGCUUGACAUAUACCGGAAACAUGCAGAGAUGUGUGCCCCGCAAGGUCGGUAUACAGGUGGUGCAUGGUUGUCGUCAGCUCGUGUCGUGAGAUGUUGGGUUAAGUCCCGCAACGAGCGCAACCCUCGUUCUAUGUUGCCAGCACGUAAUGGUGGGAACUCAUAGGAGACUGCCGGGGUCAACUCGGAGGAAGGUGGGGAUGACGUCAAAUCAUCAUGCCCCUUAUGUCUUGGGCUUCACGCAUGCUACAAUGGCCGGUACAAAGGGCUGCGAUACCGCAAGGUGGAGCGAAUCCCAAAAAGCCGGUCUCAGUUCGGAUUGAGGUCUGCAACUCGACCUCAUGAAGUCGGAGUCGCUAGUAAUCGCAGAUCAGCAACGCUGCGGUGAAUACGUUCCCGGGCCUUGUACACACCGCCCGUCAAGUCAUGAAAGUCGGUAACACCCGAAGCCAGUGGCCUACG
rnacentral:rRNA from 1 species